GCGCGAGCUAAACAAGUGUAAUGCAGUGUUGACAAUAGAAAAUUAUAUUGGGAAGUUGUCAUUUCUACAGUAAAAACAGCUUUUUUUUCAAGUAGUACGAUUGUGACUUCGAUUUAUCUGUGGAACUAUUUGAACAGAAGGUAAAGCAGUAAUUUUGUUGUAUUUAGAAAGCAAACAGAGUCAUAUUUUUAAAAAUAUAGCGCAUUGAAUAUAAAUUUGAGCAUCAUUAAAAUGUGUUCGCUAUGAUGCCAUUUUGUCUCCGGUAUAUACGGAGUUCUGCUUUUAUACUUGUGGAUAUUCGAAUUUAUUUGGCUCAAAAACACCAUUACUUCAAUAUCCCUUUCUUGUUUUUCCUUGGAUAGGUUUUAACAAGAUAGAACUCUAGAUCCCUUGGGUCCAAAGACGCUAGAUUAUAAAAUCCUGAUGUGACUUGAUACUACAAAUAGAAUAUGUCUUAUGAUUUAAUACUACAAAUAAAAUGUCUUUUAAGUACAAACUUCAAUGAAUUGAUAAAGUGUAAGGAUAGUGUUUAAAGUUGCUUCAUGUGUAGAAGCUGAAUUACUUUAGUUUAUACACUGUAUAUUGUCGAGAUCACAUGUUGAUAUGACUUAUAUAAUACUAGCAACUUGCAAUAAGUGGUCUGUUCUGCUUGUUUAUAAUACUUUAGAGUUUGGACAUUAGAACAUUGUAAUUGCCUGACAGAGACUGUUAGGGCCUGUUUGUAUGGAAGCCGGGCUGGCGCGCUUAGCAAGACAGCCCGGUAAGGUAGGUAAGCAGGAUGAUUUCUCAAUAAUUUUCUCUUGUGUUUAUUUGAGAAAAUUUCAUUCCGCUUACCGGGACAAUUUUGUUGUUUUGACAUUAUUUUGACAGUUGUUAAAAAUAGCUUGCGGCAGUAUCUUUGAACUUUCAUCCCGGCAACCGGGCUAGCCUGCUUAUGAUUGUUUAUGUGGAGAAAUUUCCAUCCUGGUCUUGGCAACCGGGCCUGCCCGCUUGUCCAUAGAAAUGAUAAUUUGUACUAUAAAAAUAACUAGACAGCGAGAUCUCACUUACCGGGCUGUCUCACUUAGCGGGCCAGCCAGUUUCGAUAUAAACAGGCCCUUACACAACUGCUAAAAGCUGCAAGUUUCUUUAAAGCAAUAUCAUCUAUAUCACAGAAUACAGUUUCUGUAGUGACAUACUUCAUGUUUUUUCUGUCUUUAAAGUGUCUUAUGUUUGUAAUAUUUUUGUACAAUACCUUUUUGAAAUUGUUGAUACUGGUCUCAUUGUAACUCAGUAGUCUCAGUUAUUCCUUCUCAAGAAAAAUAAAAAAAACAAAGCUGUGUGGGUGUGUUUUUGCUCUAGCUAGUUUUUACAUUUACAUGAUUCAUGUACAAUUACUGUACAUUUAAAUUAGCUUUGUUCAAGGAAUACAGGUGUGAUUCAAAUAUCAUUCCUGUCAGGUACUUGGGUCAAAUAGACAUAAGCAUACUAAAUCAUGCUGUGAAUUGAAAUACAAGUAUAGGGU